CCUCCAGGGGAUCUUCCUGACCCAGGGGUCGAACCUGCAUCUCUAAAGUCUCCUGCAUUGGAUCCACUCAAGGUUGCCUUUUGGCCCCUGUGUGACUUUGGCUGGUUUCCUGACCUGGAUCCUGUGCCUCAGUUCCCACCUCUGGCAGAUACACCCUUAGCCAGGAGAUCCCUGUCCACCCAUGGAGUUGUUCUGAAGUGGUCGUGGAGUGACAGUGUAACAAGCAUCGUGUAACGAUCUUCUUCAGCUUAGUUGAGAAAGGCAAUAAUUUCCAGAAAGAAGUUACUGGAUACUGUGGGGAAGCUGAAUUAAACAUACAGGCUAAAAGAAAUAUCACUUAAUCAUGCAUUUAACAAACAGUCAUCAAGUAUCUAGGAUACGCUGGAGACAAGCAGUGAAUAAAACUUUAGAGAAGAUGAGGAACCUGAGGCAUGGCAUGAUUAAGUAGCCCACAGGUACUCAACUGGGAAGGGACAGAGCCAUAGGAGCAAUAAAGUAUUGAUAACCUUUGCAAAACCCUGUAGCUUGGAUGUUUCUGGCUUGGGAGCAUUAUUUUAAAAGGAUUAUGUGUAAUCACAAAGCGUAGCAAAUCUGAAUCUCAUUCAUGAAUCCAUCCUAGUUAUAUAUUCAAACAUCAAUUUUGUCUUUCUCCUAAAAGAUCACAAAUAAUAAAAUUAAGCAAAAGCAGGAGGUUACUGGAUAAAAGUGCAGUUCUUAAUGCAAAGAGCUUUUCAUGUUGUAUUAUGUCAACAGCUUAUUCAUUCAUUUGGCUUCCAAUAACUGAAACCUAGCCACAUAAAAAAAUAAAACACAAAUACCACUUCUCUUUAUGGCAUGAAACACUACUGAAGCAAUAAAUUCUGAAGCUGAACU